UAAGAGACUUUCUCCUUUGCUAAAGGUAUG
rnacentral:piRNA from 1 species